rnacentral:rRNA from 1 species
GACGAACGCUGGCGGCGUGCCUAAUACAUGCAAGUAGAACGCUGAAGGAGGAGCUUGCUUCUCUGGAUGAGUUGCGAACGGGUGAGUAACGCGUAGGUAACCUGCCUGGUAGCGGGGGAUAACUAUUGGAAACGAUAGCUAAUACCGCAUAACAGUAGAUAUUGCAUGAUAUCUGCUUGAAAGGUGCAAUUGCAUCACUACCAGAUGGACCUGCGUUGUAUUAGCUAGUUGGUGGGGUAACGGCUCACCAAGGCGACGAUACAUAGCCGACCUGAGAGGGUGAUCGGCCACACUGGGACUGAGACACGGCCCAGACUCCUACGGGAGGCAGCAGUAGGGAAUCUUCGGCAAUGGACGGAAGUCUGACCGAGCAACGCCGCGUGAGUGAAGAAGGUUUUCGGAUCGUAAAGCUCUGUUGUAAGAGAAGAACG